GACGAACGCUGGCGGCGUGCUUAACACAUGCAAGUCGAACGGAAAGGCCCCUUUGGGGGUACUCGAGUGACGAACGGGUGAGUAACACGUGAGUAACCUGCCCUUGACUUCGGGAUAACUUCAGGAAACUGGGGCUAAUACCGGAUAGGAAUCCUUGCUGCAUGGUGGGGGUUGGAAAGCUUCGGCGGUUUUGGAUGGACUCGCGGCUUAUCAGCUUGUUGGUGGGGUAGUGGCUUACCAAGGCUUUGACGAGUAGCCGGCCUGAGAGGGCGACCGGCCACAUUGGGACUGAGAUACGGCCCAGACUCCUACGGGAGGCAGCAGUGGGGAAUAUUGCACAAUGGGCGGAAGCCUGAUGCAGCAACGCCGCGUGCGGGAUGACGGCCUUCGGGUUGUAAACCGCUUUCAGCAGGGGCGAAGCUUGUGGUGACGGUACCUGCAGAAGAAGCACCGGCUAACUACGUG
rnacentral:rRNA from 1 species